AAGAAGGUGACAGAGUGGUUAUGUGGUCGGCUUGAAACCGAUAUAUAGGGGUUCAAUUCCUUUCCUUCUCG
rnacentral:tRNA from 1 species